UCUGUCCUAAAUCCUCAAUCCCCAUCGCCAUCCGUUCUUAUCCUCUUCCCCCCUCCCAACCCCUUCCCCAUAUCCAUGGAUGACGAGAGCGUCGAGAAUGGCAGCGAGAUCUCUGAUGCCAUUGCCGACGGUAGCACUGUCGUUGCCCUUCCCGCUAAGCCGGUGCAAGCCGGUGGACAAAGCCGUGCGAACCCGCACUGGUGGGCUGGGAGGAAGUUCAUGCAGGAGGUUUGGCAUGCGGGGAGCCAGAACUCCGACCGGAUUCCGGCUAUGUUCUCCUCCAGUGCACGCCAGGGAUGGACGCGUUGGAGGCUCAGUACCAUGGUGUGCAUCAAGGAGGCCACCCCUCAGCAUGACCUUUGGCCCACCUUCAAGGAGGAGGUGAUGUGCACAUGCAUGCUCGAAUCACCAACAUAGGUGAAGCGCGUUGGCUCCUGGAUCUAGUUCGUUCUCUGGCACUGUGCGAUGCACAGUACUCCUGGCGAGCUGCCGUCCAAGACCACAGUGAGCUUCGAAAGGGUACCCGAGGAGGCGUGGGAGCCAGAGGCCGUGAACACGCUCCUGAACAAGCUAGGCGACAAGCUCAUCAACAUGAGGCCGCCGGAGGACAAGUGCAAGAUCGUCAUGGUCGCGUGGUUCCGCAACCCAAGCAAGGUUCCCAAGGUCCUCUGUUUGGUCCAUGUUCUGUAAUUCAGCUUCUUCCAUGUUCCCUUGCUCAACUUGCAUUUCUGCCUCCCAUGCAUGUUGUCUGUUCUGCUCCUUCAUUUGCAAAUACUCAUUGAACCCUCUCUGCCUCUCUUGCUCAUCCUGCUGGUACAACAAAAGUUCACAUAUUUCUCUGUCUUGCGGUUCUACUCUCAGCCUCUUCUUCUCUGCAACUUUUCUUCAUCUCCUCCUCGUCCUACGGCGCCCUUCCCACCGCCGUCGCCUACACGGAGGGCUGCAGCCGCACAGGUGACCGCAAGGAGAAGGGGUCGGUGAGGAAAUGGUGAUUUCCGAUGCCCCUGUCCUUCUCUGAUUAGUAUUUAGUUAAUCUUUAGUAUGAAUCUAUUGUCUGUUUGGUCUGAUGAAAUGUGAUGCUAUGUCCAUAUGAACUGUGAAUCUAUGUCUCUUUUGUUGCUA